rnacentral:rRNA from 1 species
UACAGAGGGUGCAAGCGUUAAUCGGAAUUACUGGGCGUAAAGGGCGUGUAGGCGGCAAAGUAAGUUGGGUGUGAAAGCCCCAGGCUUAACCUGGGAACUGCAUCCAAAACUGCUUAGCUAGAGUAGAGUAGAGGGAAGUGGAAUUUCCGGUGUAGCGGUGAAAUGCGUAGAUAUCGGAAGGAACACCAGUGGCGAAGGCGGCUUCCUGGACUCAUACUGACGCUGAGGCGCGAAAGCGUGGGGAGCAAACAGG